GAGGGAGAGAGAGAGAGAGAGACAGAGAGUGACAGAUAGAUAGAUAGAUAGAUAGAUAGAUAGAUAGAUAGAAUAGAGCAAUAUGAUAAACAAGUCAAGUCUCAAUCAAGGUUCGAAAAUUAAUUGAAUCAAUCAAGUCAAUUAAUCAAUUAAUCCAUCCAGCAUACGACAUACCCAGAGCAUUGGCCGUGUGACAGUGAGUGAGAAAUAUAUAUAUAUAUAGAUAAUAAUAUAAUGGUGUGCAAUUCGGUUUCAAUUCCGGAUACAGUCUCGAUUCUUUUUCACAUAUAUAUAUAUAUCUUUUAAAAAAUUAAUAUAUUUUUUAAUAAAGAAAAAAGAAAGAACGAAAUACUAUUAAUCUCAUAAUCGAAAGAGAAAGAGAGAGAGAGAGAGAGAAACAGGAAUGAAAUAUUCCUCGAGUCCUCGAGAACUUACGACUCUCACUCUCCCUCCUCCUCCUCCUCCCAGUCGAGGCUGUACCCUUAAAAAAUAGUAAUAGUACGUGAACAGGUGGGUGUGUAGUAACAGGGUGGGCGGGCGGGCGGGCAGACAGUUAGACAGACACAGACGAACAGACAAACAGACAGACAGAUAGAUAGACAGACAGACAGACAGACAGACAGACAGAUAGACAGACAGACAGCGACAGCUAGCUUACCAGGUAGAAACCGGUACUACGCAGUUAGCAAGAAAUAGCCGUCCGUUCUUCCGUCCGUCCGUCCGUUCGUCCGUCCGUCUGUCCAUCCGUCCGUCUAUCCAAGCCUCGGAUAUACUCAUAUUUCCUUCCGGUAAGUGUGCUCGAAAGGUUAAAUCAACGGCUACGUUCGAAAAAUUACGGAAAUUCGAGAGGUUUGCAUCCGAGACGGGGACACCGAGAGGGGACACCGAGAGGGGACACCGAGAGGGGACACCGAGAGGGGACACCGAGAGAGGGCGUAGGGGGGGGGGCUAGCUGGUUGGUUGGUUGGUUGGUUGGUUAGCUGGUUGGCUGGUUGGCUGGCUGGCUGGCUGGCUGGUUGGUUGGUUGGCUGGCUGGCUAACUAACUAACUAUUAUCGCAACCUCGUUUCGCUUUAUAGUUAUUUCUCUUAACUUUUUUUUCCUUGUAACGGUCGGUCAACAGACAGGUCGGUCGAACGGACAGGCGAACGGGAUCAUAAUACGCUUUGUAUGGGAAAGAAAAAGAAAAAGAAAAGAAAAGAUAUACAUAGAUAAAGAUAUAUAGAUAUUAUACAAACAUUAUUAUGUUAUACUAUACAUACACAGGUGAACAGUGAAUAUAUAUAUAUAUCGUAAUGUGUACUUAUUCCCAUAUACGAGUGAAGAAGGCAUACAAAAGGAAAAAGAAGAUAUCAGUCUUGAGUUUUCGGUCGGAUUUUUGUUGUUGAUAUAAUUUAUAUACGUAUAUAUAUAUAAACUAUAUCAAGUUAAGUAGUUAAGUAUAGAGAUCCAGUUUCCAGUGGAUCGGAAGAGGAAGGGGAAGGGGAUUUGAUUUUUUUGAAGAUAAAGAUAUCGCGAGCAAGUCGAAAUAAUAAUUCGUUGGAAACAAUGCUCGUGAGAAGAUCGAAAGAGAUUGUGUUCAAGAGAGUUGUAUAGCGGUGGUAGAGCGGCAGUAGAAAGGGUCUGUCGGGACGUGUUAAAGGACGAGUCGGACGCGUUAGGCCGAGGUCCUUAUCUCGAAUAUCGAUCGGCAGUGUAAACGGCUCGUCUCUCGAUCGAGAUGUUCGACUCUUCCGAAAGGGAAGAAUAAUAAAGAGGCAACAAUGAGAUCAACAAUGAAUUAUUCGCUUCUAAAAUCGAUUUUAAUGCCAUGUGUACCAUAUGCUUGAAAGCGCAAGCUCGUCGAUCGUCCAAAGGACACGUAAAGACAGAGACAGAGACAGACAGAGAGAGAGAGAGAAGAAAAAAAAUAUGUAUAAAAAAUAAUAAAAAACUAGAACUGAAAAAUCUAUCUUUCUCGCGCUUUUCUUCUUUCUGGAAACUACACAUACUAAAUCAGCUGACUCAAUUCCCUUAGAAAUUGAAUCGUUAAACUAAAUAAUAUAACUAAAUAAUAUAUAUAUAAAAAUAAAAAAAAGAGAGAGAAAGAAAUUAAAAAAAAGAAAGAAAAGAAAAAAAAAACGAUCAGCCUACCAACGACAGCAUUGCGCGAACAAUCGUGCACACAGCUGAAAGGCGGCUAUGACACAAUGCGGUUUACCGUAUCGCAAUCAGACGUCAGCCGGAUUUCUCGAGGAUCUUCCUGUGGUGGACAAACACGACCCUCGAAUUAGUCCACUUUCCUCCUUUUUUCCACGUCUCUUCUCGCUCUUUACCGGCCCCCCUCCAAUCCUCCUCGCUACGCGCCAGAGCACAGAGGAUUGGAAAGGGAUCGCUUCGAUUGUUUGUCGAUAAAAAAGAAUAAAUUUUUUUUUCUGCAAAUUUUAUCAUUUCCUUUUUUUUUUUUUCAAGUUCCAAAGAAUAUCAACGAAUAUGGAAGAUCGUUUCCCAAAUUAUUUUUUUUUUUUUUUUUAUUAUUAAUUCCUAAUUCGAGUUUCUAAGAAUAUUUUUUUUAGACCGAUUUUUAUCGCAUUCUCGCGAAAAUAAAUAUCGCGCCACUCCACGGUGGAAAUAAAAUGGAGAGGAAAAGAAUUCGCGCGAGAGAAUCCGUUGAAAACCGAAUAAUGAAAAUAAUGCGCGAUAAUAAAUCCCGCAGGAUUCCCCCGUUACGCGUGUGGGAUGGAGGAACAAAACCGGUGGACACUUGAGCGGUAAAUCGAUCGUUCGAUUCGAUUAUACCGAACACGAUGUUUCUGCAACGAAGAGGAGAGAGAAAAAAAAAAAAAAAAAAAA
rnacentral:lncRNA from 1 species